UACGAAGGGGGCUAGCGUUGUUCGGAAUUACUGGGCGUAAAGCGCACGUAGGCGGAUUGUUUAGUGAGGGUGAAAUCCCAGGGCUCAACCCUGGAACUGCCUCUCAUACUGGCAAUCUCGAGUUCGAGAGAGGUGAGUGGAAUUCCGAGUGUAGAGGUGAAAUUCGUAGAUAUUCGGAGGAACACCAGUGGCGAAGGCGGCUCACUGGCUCGAUACUGACGCUGAGGUGCGAAAGCGUGGGGAGCAAACAGGAUUAGAUACCCU
rnacentral:rRNA from 1 species